GACGAACGCUGGCGGCGUGGAUUAGGCAUGCAAGUCGGACGGUAGAGCUUUAUCGUAAGAUAGAGUUUGAGAGUGGCGAACGGGUGAGUAACACGUAGGAAUCUACCCUUAAGACGGGGACAACCCAGGGAAACUUGGGCUAAUACCGGAUGAGAGUGCGAGAGAUUGCAUUUAAAAGGAUGGCGAAAGUUGUCGCUUAGGGAUGAGCCUGCGGUCUAUUAGUUAGUUGGUGAGGUAAGAGCUCACCAAGGCGAUGAUAGAUAGGCGGCCUUAACGGGUGGUCGCCCACACUGGGAUUGAGAUACGGCCCAGACUCCUACGGGAGGCAGCAGUCGAGAAUAGUCUACAAUGGCCGGAAGGCUGAUAGUGCGACGCCGCGUGGAGGACGAAGCCCUUCGGGGUGUAAACUCCUUUUCUCAGGGAAAAGGAUGAUGGUACCUGAGGAAUAAGCCCGGCUAACUACGUG
rnacentral:rRNA from 1 species